UACGUAGGGCGCAAGCGUUGUCCGGAAUUAUUGGGCGUAAAGAGCUCGUAGGCGGUUUGUCGCGUCUGCUGUGAAAACCUAAGGCUCAACCUUGGGCUUGCAGUGGGUACGGGCAGACUAGAGUGCGGUAGGGGUGACUGGAAUUCCUGGUGUAGCGGUGGAAUGCGCAGAUAUCAGGAGGAACACCAGUGGCGAAGGCGGCCACCUGGACGGACA
rnacentral:rRNA from 1 species